rnacentral:rRNA from 1 species
UACGUAGGGGGCAAGCGUUGUCCGGAAUUAUUGGGCGUAAAGAGCUCGUAGGCGGUUUGUCGCGUCUGCUGUGAAAACCCGGAGCUCAACUCCGGGCCUGCAGUCGAUACGGGCGGACUUGAGUGUUGCAGGGGAGACUGGAAUUCCUGGUGUAGCGGUGAAAUGCGCAGAUAUCAGGAGGAACACCGGUGGCGAAGGCGGUUCUCUGGGCCUUACCUGACACUGAGGAGCGAAAGCGUGGGGAGCGAACAGG